GGAGGGUGGGGAGGCGGGUAGAGCCCCAGUGGCUCAGUUUCCGCCCUCGGGUACAGCUCCCCCACCCUCCAGAUCCCAGCCAGGAUUCCCAAGGGGGAAGGGGGAGAUGUCUUGGCUGCAGAGAAGGAAGAAGUCAUGGCGGGAGAAGAGACAGGGAAGAAGUAGUGCGGCUGUCCAAGGGGACCGAGCCGAAUCGCCCAGACUUGGCCCCCAGCUUGAAAUCCCAGCUCCAGCCUCCGCCCCACUCACGCGUGCCGUCAAAGCGGGUGGCUAUGGUGUCCAAGAAGUUGCCUAGAGUACCCUGCACCUCUGAGCAAAGCAGGCGGUGGGGUGAAAAGACUUUGGUGCAGCAGGUGGAACUCCAGCUCUGGACAGCCUGGGGAGCUGGACAGCCUGUGUGACAGCCUCUGGAAGCCUCACUUUACUCAUCUGCAAGAUGAAGCUAAUGAAUCUUACCUCAUGCAAUUAUUGUAAGAGUAUGAUGGCAUAAUGCAUGUCUUUGGCACAAAAUAAAUGUCUUGG